UACGUAGGGUGCGAGCGUUGUCCGGAAUUAUUGGGCGUAAAGAGCUCGUGGGCGGUCUGUCGCGUCUGCUGUGAAAACUCAGGGCUUAACCCUGAGCUUGCAGUGGGUACGGGCAGACUAGAGUGCGGUAGGGGAGACUGGAAUUCCUGGUGUAGCGGUGAAAUGCGCAGAUAUCAGGAGGAACACCGGUGGCGAAGGCGGGUCUCUGGGCCGUAACUGACGCUGAGGAGCGAAAGCAUGGGGAGCGAACAGG
rnacentral:rRNA from 1 species